rnacentral:rRNA from 1 species
GACGAACGCUGGCGGCGUGCUUAACACAUGCGAGUCGAACGGAAAGGCCCUGCUUUUGUGGGGUGCUCGAGUGGCGAACGGGUGAGUAACACGUGAGUAACCUGCCCUUGACUUUGGGAUAACUUCAGGAAACUGGGGCUAAUACCGGAUAGGAGCUCCUGCUGCAUGGUGGGGGUUGGAAAGUUUCGGCGGUUGGGGAUGGACUCGCGGCUUAUCAGCUUGUUGGUGGGGUAGUGGCUUACCAAGGCUUUGACGGGUAGCCGGCCUGAGAGGGUGACCGGCCACAUUGGGACUACGAUACGGCCCAGACUCCUACGGGAGGCAGCAGUGGGGAAUAUUGCACAAUGGGCGGAAGCCUGAUGCAGCAACGCCGCGUGCGGGAUGACGGCCUUCGGGUUGUAAACCGCUUUCGCCUGUGACGAAGCGUGAGUGACGGUAAUGGGUAAAGAAGCACCGGCUAACUACGUG